UACGGGGGGAGCAAGCGUUGUUCGGAUUUACUGGGCGUAAAGGGCGCGUAGGCGGCCGGCACAAGUCAGUUGUGAAAUCUCCGAGCUUAACUCGGAACGGUCAACUGAUACUGUGCGGCUAGAGUGCGGAAGGGGCAACUGGAAUUCUUGGUGUAGCGGUGAAAUGCGUAGAUAUCAAGAGGAACACCUGCGGCGAAGGCGGGUUGCUGGGCCGACACUGACGCUGAGGCGCGAAAGCUAGGGGAGCGAACGGG
rnacentral:rRNA from 1 species